GAACAAGCAAAACAAAAGUUUAAUUCUUGAAUGUUGAAAUCGUAUGAUUAAAAAAAAAAAAAAGGUUGUGGGGGCCUGGUGAACUGUACGAGGCUCCUGUUGGGACUUUUUGUCCUUCACAGGCCUGACCAUCAAAAGUGACAUUAACCUUCUAGAGAAAAUAAGCCCCGGGAGGUACCAACCUAAGGACCUGAGCGUUGCCUCUUAGGCCUUCACAUGUCCUCACCUGCGUUAGGGCUUGUCACGCAGCGGCGGCUGUUAGUUACUUGUCAGGGACAAAACAACAUUGGGCAGGUUCAGGAAUUAUUCACCAUGGAAUGAAAAGUAGAGAAGUAUAAUAAGAAGAGUUGGCCCUUUCCCGAGCGCUUACUGUGUGCACUGAGCAGGCACUUUCCUGGGGACCACGCAGAGCAGCUUCAGUCCUCUAAAGUAAGUACCGCAUGAUUCCCCAAUUUUAUGGAAGAGGAACUUUCUCCUAUCGUGUAAUACUAGAGCUUUGCACUGAACCGUUUUGCAGAUGAGGAACCUGAGGGCCUGAGGGUUCCUGGGAGGGUCACACGGUCGGUGAAGGAGGUGAGGUUGGAACCCAGCUCUCCAACCCCCGGGCAGGUUUUCUGCUCCCGGAGCGAGAGGGCCAAGGCUGCCGAGGCCAAAUACACAGCGCAGCGCGGCUGAAGCCUUCCUGACCUCACCUGGUACCUGAACGAUGACCCUGAAGGCAAAGAAAAGAAGGUUGAGAGCAAAUAGAAGUAGAUUUGUCCCACUGUGGGAAGAGGAGAGAAUUUGCACUGAUAGCUCCAGUAAGUUGGAUGAGUAACAUCUAGAGAAACUCAUUAUUGCUCAAGCAACUGGCAAAUCUGAGGAUGCAUAUGAAAGUCAAGUAAACGAAAGGAUUCCUAGAGAAAAAAAUGGAAGUGUUUUUAACCUUAAUGGUAAAAUGUUUUUGUCAGUAACUUAUAUCCAAUUGGAUUCCAACAUGUUAUUGAAUUUUCCGAAUAAAUAAAAGUUUUAUGGUUCAUUUAAAAAAAUUUAUGUUUCUUUCCAUCAUUGAAAUCUCUGUCCUGGAGUCUGUACAUUAACUUGUCACUAGUCAUUUUAUGGUCUUGAAUGUCACUAAACUAUAAUGUGAUUAAAUAUACACUAUUGCAAAACAUUUUUUAUGUUAUAAAAAUUUAUAUUGAAGUCUUGUAAUCAAAGACUUUGGUAAAUCUGUGAGAGUAAUUUUAAUUUUAUAUUUUAGAUGUAAAAUGUCUUAGUUUACAUUUUAAUUGUCAUUCAUAUUGUUGACCAUUAUUUGUUCUUGAUAAAGGUACAACUUGCUUUUCUGGGGUUUUGCAUUACCAUUAAUUCUAUGGUUUGGUGCCAUAGUUCAGGCUCCAGACUCUGGAUCCGAACUCUAUGUCACUUGACUUUGUGACCUUGGGCAAGUUACUUGACUCCUCUGUGUUUAAAUUUCCUAAUCUGCAGAAUUGAGAUACUAGUGAUAAUACAUACCUCAUAGAAUUAUUGGGGAGAUUAAGUGAACUGAUAGAUUUAAAGUGUGUAGAGCAGUGUUUGGCAUGCAGAGAUUAUUAUAAGGUUUAAUUAUUAUUACUUAACUAUUGCUGAAGUUUACUCCAACUCUGCUCAUAUUACUUGCUUAUUAUGUAUUUAAGGAUGUAUCAAAUGAUUCUGCAAGUCAGUAGGAAUAGGACACUUCAUGAAGAAGAGGAAAGGUUAGGGCUUAGAAGCCAUGCAGUGUAGAUAGGGGAGAGGAAGGAGCAGGGCUUUAGUUGUUAGACACACCUGGAUUAAACAAGAUUCUUACUAGUUAUGUAAAUUGGCAACUCACUAAAAUGAAAUCUUUUGCAAAAUGAAGACAAUACAUUUUGAAAUCUUGUAUAAAUGACAUAAUGUCUGUAAAGCACUGGGAAAUGAUGCAAUUUUUUGAAACCUCCUCUCCAUUUUUUAAAGCAGAAAAAAAAUAGUGGAUCUUACAUAUAAUUUUUAACUUUACUUUUUAAAUUAACACUACAUUACAAGCAUAUUUCCAUGUCAUUAAAUAUUUGAUUACAUAAGAAUAUUUAAAAGUUAACAGUUGUUUAUUUUAUUUAACCAGUUCCUAUUUCUGAAUAUUUAUGCUGUUUCCAAUAUUCUCUAAUAUUGGCG
rnacentral:lncRNA from 1 species